AGGGAAAUAACUCUUAAAAUCAUCAGUAUGUUUGUGUCAGCCAUUUUCAUAAAUAUGUUCUAAGCUUCUUGGAUACAUAGAUUAUUUUCAAUCUGUUUCAGGUAAAUGUUUAAAAUUCAUUGAGGAAACUUGACUUUUACAAACACAUAACUGAUUUAAAGAGUUAUCUCCCUGUACCAAGGUCUACCCCCUUAACAAACAACUCAUUUACACGUGCCAUUUUUAUGUAUAUAUUGCAUUUUUGCUUGUUUAAAUCAAAAUCUGUUGUUAUGUGAUUAUUGUUAAAAAUAAAUAUAGAGAUG
rnacentral:lncRNA from 1 species